rnacentral:lncRNA from 1 species
CGGAAAUGCAACUGCGUACGGGCUGGCCGCGUAAUCGUGGCGUCAGCGCGCCCGCGCCGGCUGGCCGGACGCCCUAGGCUUCCGCGAGAUCUUCGGUGGGGGUAAGGGUGUUUUACGCCAGGACGCUGAUGCGUUUGGGUUCUCGUCUGCAGACUCUCUGGACCUGGUCACGAUUCCACAAUGUACCACAACAGUAGUCAGAAGCGGCACUGGACUUUCUCCAGCGAGGAGCAGCUGGCAAGACUGCGGGCCGACGCCAACCGCAAAUUCAGAUGCAAAGCCGUGGCCAACGGGAAGGUUCUUCCGAAUGAUCCAGUCUUUCUUGAGCCUCAUGAAGAAAUGACACUCUGCAAAUACUAUGAGAAAAGGUUAUUGGAAUUCUGUUCGGUGUUUAAGCCAGCAAUGCCAAGGUCUGUUGUGGGUACGGCUUGUAUGUAUUUCAAACGUUUUUAUCUUAAUAACUCAGUAAUGCAAUAUCACC